UCUUGGAAGAUUUGCUUUUAGGAACUUAUCCAUUUCUUCUAGGUUGUUCAUCUUAUUGACAUACAGUUGUUCAUAGCAGUGUCAUAUGAUCUUUGGUAUUUUUGUGGUAUGAGUUGUAACUUCUCUUUCAUUUCUGACUUUGUUUAUUUGAGCCCUCUCUUUUAUUCUUGGGAUGUGGAUCUGGCCAGAAUACUGCUGUUUAAAGAGAUUGCAGAUUCCUUUCAGCUGCCUUCGAAGAUGCCUUCACUUAUCAGAUUUGGAUUCUCUCUAAGAACUCCAAGAUAUGUUUGUGGAAUUAAUUAUACCAACUGAACUAAUCUUACCUGCCAGAGAGGGUCUUUUUGAUCAGGAAAGAGC